GAAAACUGCUUUACUGGAGGGCAACUUACUUUGACACCUCCUGCACUGAAUCAGGGAUAUUAUGAGAAGAUGAUGGAGCAAGAUGGCACAGACUCAGUUCUUGCUCUGAUAGGCAGAGGAACUUCUGGCAGGCUGGCAGAUGGCAGACCACACCAC
rnacentral:lncRNA from 1 species